UCGAACCGGAGAGCGUGAACAGCCACAAAAGUGGCUGCCUGUAGGCGGCAAGCUAACACAAAGGAAGAUGCUCGAUCGUCGACUUCGAUACAAGCGAAGAAUUAAGGUUCAUGUAAACUCUUCUUCCAUGCUUCGUGCCACUAUAUAAGCAACCCACUCCUCGAUUCCAUCACCUCCCGCUCUCUCUCUCUCUCUCUUUCUCUCUCUCUCUCCCCUUCUCGCUCCUUGCACAAGCCUUGUUUCUUGGCUCCGGGAUCCCACACGCGCGCGCGCGCGUGUUUUCUCUCUAUCCGGUGGCCUUAGCAUCUGAAUCGGGAAGCAUCCUCGCCGUCAGAGAUACGUGGCUGAGUGUAUCAGAGAUUGUGCUCGGGAUGUAAGAGGUAUUGGCGUGUCUCAAUCUGAAGCCAUGGUUGGAUGCUCGAGUAGCCAUGUACUUGGAUUGAGCCGCGUCAAUAUCUCUCCUUGGCUGAAAGCACUCCAUCCGCCAUCCGACUCCCAGGUUCUCAGGCAUGUGAGCCUGCAAAAGCAGAUUCCUACACCCCGGUUAUUCCCAAUAAUUUGCUGCUAGCUGGGAUUUCCAGGGAGUCCUUGUUUGUUGAAAGAGUACAACAUCUUUUUCUUCUUUUUGCA